rnacentral:rRNA from 1 species
GUCGAACGAGUUCUCGUUGAAUCUCGGUGCUUGCACCGAGAUUCAACAUGGAACGAGUGGCGGACGGGUGAGUAACACGUGGGUAACCUGCCCUUAAGUGGGGGAUAACAUUUGGAAACAGAUGCUAAUACCGCAUAGAUCCAAGAACCGCAUGGUUCUUGGCUGAAAGAUGGCGUAAGCUAUCGCUUUUGGAUGGACCCGCGGCGUAUUAGCUAGUUGGUGAGGUAAUGGCUCACCAAGGCGAUGAUACGUAGCCGAACUGAGAGGUUGAUCGGCCACAUUGGGACUGAGACACGGCCCAAACUCCUACGGGAGGCAGCAGUAGGGAAUCUUCCACAAUGGACGCAAGUCUGAUGGAGCAACGCCGCGUGAGUGAAGAAGGCUUUCGGGUCGUAAAACUCUGUUGUUGGGGAAGAAUGGUCGGCAGAGUAACUGUUGUCGGCGUGACGGUAUCCAACCACAAAGCCACGGCUAACUACGUGCCAGCAGCCGCGGUAAUACGUAGGUGGCAAGCGUUAUCCGGAUUUAUUGGGCGUAAAGCGAGCGCAGGCGGUUUUUUAAGUCUGAUGUGAAAGCCCUCGGCUUAACCGAGGAAGCGCAUCGGAAACUGGGAAACUUGAGUGCAGAAGAGGACAGUGGAACUCCAUGUGUAGCGGUGAAAUGCGUAGAUAUAUGGAAGAACACCAGUGGCAAAUGCGGCUGUCUGUCUGUAACUGACGCUGAGGCUCGAAAGCAUGGGUAGCGAACAGGAUUAGAUACCCUGGUAGUCCAUGCCGUAAACGAUGAAUGCUA